rnacentral:tRNA from 1 species
ACCCGGCUGACUCAGUGGGUAGAGCAUGGGACUCUUGAUCUCAGGGUUGUGAGUUUGAGUCUCACGGUGGGUA